CCUUGGUUAGCUCAAUUGGUAGAGCAAUCGGCUAUGGACCGGUGAGUACCGGGUUCGAAUCCCGGACCAAGAC
rnacentral:tRNA from 1 species